AGCAAAUUUAUAGCCCAUAUAAAUUUAAGUUAAUGAGACAAGGUGCAAUGGUAAGAUGAGGAGGAAUCCCUGGUUUAUAUCAACCUAAUGCCUGACAGUUUGGUCAAAGAUCUUGACAUAUAGGUCAAAGAUCAUCUUCUGCCAGCUAGCACGCAUUCACGUGCACAAACCGUGAAACUUGCUGUGAACCAAUUGAAAACCUUGUACGACUGUGUUCUGCGCUUUGACCAAUCAUAGGCCAUAACACAGCCCAUCCUAAUUGGCGCAUAACAUGCACGAGUUCAUGCAAAAUAAUGUAAUUUACUCUGAGCCGUCGACAGAGUAACAUUAUCAAAAAAAUUUUCCCACCCACCCACCUCUCCUCUGCUUACCUUGACUGGAUUUAAAAAAUUAAAAAAAAAACAACAAAAAAAACCCCCUAAAACAAACAGUUAAAGUUUUAAUGUUACAAUAUUAGGGAAUGCAGUAAUAACAUUCUUAUGUCUACAAUAUACCCGUUCCCAUGGAAAGAUAUGGAUAGACACGCAUUGUAUGUAUAUCGGUAUAUAUAAUACAGUAGAUGAUUAUGUACAAAGGGAUGCUACGACCGAUCUCAAGGACAUUCUGAAUUGUUGGUAGACUAGCUUAUCUAAUUCAUUGUGGAUAUUAUGGAUAUUAUUGUGCAUGGAAAAUAUUUUGCUUGUAAGUUCUUGUUGAGUAAUUCAAAUAAAGAUUUGUGGUUCGGGUUGAAGUCUCCAUAAAAUGUCAACUUCAGGCCCAUAGACUCAAUAUAUGUCACACAUAAUAUAUCUAAAUCUAAGGACUGUCCAUGGGGGGUUACCCCCCAUGUUCAGGUUAAGGACUGGCCUUAUGGGUUUUGUGCCUUUGGUCAGGUUAAGGACUGUCCAUAGGGGUUUUGCGCUCCGAUUGGUCAGGGUAAGGACUGUCCAUACUGGGGUCUUGUGCUCUAGUUGGUCAGGUUAGGACUGUCCAAGUGAAUCUUGGUCAGAUUAUCAGUGCCAGUUCAGAAUCAGUGCAGCUAAUAGGGUGUGACAUAUGAGUUGGCAUGAUGAUUGUCAUAUACUGUAAAUGGACUCUUCACAACCCUGAACCCCUCUCCCACAAAAAUAAAGAUUUGUGUUUAAUAUUGUGUUGUUAACUUGGGUCAUUAACAUUUAAAAUAUUAGACAAUUAGUCUAGUUCGUAGGUGACUGCAUGCCAGGAUAUGUUCGGGUGGACGACCUGCAUGGUAAUCAGCUGUACCCGGGUGUUUCUUCUCACAUUUGUUUAGGAUCUGUUUAGUGCAUACCAAUGGAUCCAGUCUGUAUUUACGUCCAAUUUAUUGUAGAAUGUCGUUGAGGUACCGAUAAGUUCUCUGAUUACAAAUUUCUCUAUUGUAUUUGUUUACGGACGAAGCUUCCACGAGUUCAUAUUAUAUGAAUAAUAGCUAUCCAAUAAAUUCUUUCGGCUCUGCGCUAGCCUGCGUGUCAGGCUUUAUGCUUAAAAUAGAGCUUGCUAAUGAAGUCAGUAAAAAGUUGAUUGAUGCGAACGAAUCGUACGCAAAAUUCCCAUUGGUCAGAAAUAAAUAGUCUUGCCUUUUAAGGUAGCAUCAAGUUGUUGUUUUAUUGUUUACGUAAUAUGAUAUCCCAUAGUUGUAAUUGUACUUUUAAUUACUGCCUUUGGC
rnacentral:lncRNA from 1 species